UACGGGGGGGGCAAGCGUUGUUCGGAAUUACUGGGCGUAAAGGGCGCGUAGGCGGGCUGUCAAGUCUGGGGUGAAAUCCCGCGGCUCAACCGUGGAACUGCCUCAGAUACUGACGGUCUCGAGGGAGGUAGGGGCGAGCGGAACUGAUGGUGGAGCGGUGAAAUGCGUUGAUAUCAUCAGGAACUCCGGUGGCGAAGGCGGCUCGCUGGACCUCUUCUGACGCUGAGGCGCGAAAGCCAGGGGAGCAAACGGG
rnacentral:rRNA from 1 species